CAGCUCGAAGGCAAAGACCUCCCUCCCCUCCCAGAGGCCCUCCAGGAGAGGCACUGUGUACACUCAUCCACACGGAAACUAGCGGCUGCCCAGAACCGAAUGGCACCCACGGAGUUGGAGCCCUUUGCCCGGACUGGCAAACUGAGGCCUCCGCCCACCUUCUGAUGCUUGCGCUCCUUCUCAAUGCGGUCCAUCCUCUCCACGCGCAGCCGGUCCAGCUCCAGGCGCAGUUCGUCCAGCUCGGGAGCGACGUGGUGCCGGCUCACCAGCACCUCGAGGAUCUCCAGGACCCUCACGACCUUGGGCAUGAGGCGCGCGAUGGACUCGCAGCCGUGCUGGUCGAUGACCCUCUCGAACUCGUGGCCCACGAGCGACGCGAUGUCGUACACAUCCAUGACGGCACCACCCAACUUCCCUGAGGUCCAGUGUGAGCCUGUGAAUCUGCUCGCACAUAUUAUAAAAUUCCAUCUCUUCUGAGGCCUCCAAGCGGCUGGAAUCGCCUGUCUGUGCCGUGAUGAGACAAAUGUUGUAAACCAGGACCACAACAUCCCAGCCUCCAUAGAAGAACCAGAAGAUGCUGUUUGGCCAAGACUCACAGUGAUGGUCCACCUAGCCCAGAAGGAAGUUCUGGUCUCGAGCAGAGACUAGAACUGAAUGAAUGUUGAGAGGGGUGUGGCUUGCAAGUGUGGGCCGAUGAUGGAGGUGAGGUAAUGGAAGUAACAGAAAAAGGCUUACAUCCCAGUACUUAGGAGGCUAAGGGUCAGGCGUUCAAAGCCAGCCUGGACUACACAGUGAAACCAUACCCCUUCUCAAAAAAUGAAAAAACAAGGAAGUCGAUAAAUAAGUAGAAAGAAAGCAAAGGAAGCAGGCUAACGCACUGGAGAAUCCAUUCCAAAUGGAUCCGAACCUCAUAUAAAAUAUGCUCAGUGGCUGGGGCAGGUACCCUGAAAUCCCAGCUCCUGGGGAGCCCACAGCUUUCUUCUGCCUCCACUGGCUCCAGCCUGCAUGUGGUACACACGCGUGAACACACACUAAAGUAAACAAAAAUAAAUUGUAUGCUGACAAACAACUGUCACCUUGCUGGGAGAUGCUGGCAAAAGGACCAGAGUUCGAGUAUCUCCUAGAUCGUGUGCUGAGUUCACGGCCAACCUUGGCAAUAGAGGAGCCUGUCUAAAAAGAAGUGGGGGCGGGGGCACUGGAGAAAGGGCUCAACAGGUGAGGGACCCAGAGUCAAUUUCCAGCACCCACAUGGUGGCUCACAACUGUCUGUACGUCAGUUCCAGGGGCUCCAGUGUCAUCAUCUUCUGAACUCCCCAGGCAUGCCUGAUGUACACAGACAUAUAUACAAGCAAAACACUUAGGUAUAGCCGGGCGGUGGUGGCACACGCCUUUAA